CAGCUCUAUUCUGUUCGAAUGUAACAAAAAUUAUUUAACCCACACAAGAAAUAUAUUUGAGAAGUUUGUUUAAGUUGUUCAGUAGCAUGGUACCAAAGUACAAGGUUUACUAGGUGGAAUGUUGGUGGUACGUACUAGUACUAGUACAUGCUAGAAGGGAACACUACUGUCUUGACACUGGUAUGGACGCCUAUGACACAACACAGGAGGAGAUGAAAACAGCUUAUCUCACACCUCAGGAAUGCUGCAGGUGGCUCAGCACAGGAGAUCCCCGGAGACCCUAUUGGAUGCCAGGCUACAGUUUGCUGACAUCAUCUGUCACCGUCUUUCCUAUGGGCCUUGGCUAAGGAUGGAAGAGUUUUCUUUGAUCUGGUGUGGUUGACAUCAUCUGUGGGAUUUCCACAGUGUUGUCACAUACACACACAUUAGAAUUUGUGCAAUACAAAUCAUUGUAUGUUGUACAUAAAAUGCCAGAUUAGUGCAGAAAAUGCAAUGUCUGCUGAUUCUAUUUUUCCAUUGCACAAUGGAAAAAGAUGAAUGGAUGACACUUGUCUUUUUUAUUUUUUAAGUUGCAUCAGAAACUGAGGAAAUUGAGGCUUAAGUUGCUACAGCGUUUUUAAUUGUAUGAGAAAAGUAGAAAUGAAGGAAUAAUAAAUGGUAAGGUAAUUAAUUUAGCUAGAUGCUAAUGCUUCAAAACGGAAACAGUAUGCAACAAGAACAUCUGUAGUAUCAAAACGCAACUUUAUGUUGUGUUAUCAGUAACACUUCACAAUAAGUUUCUAUUCAUUAACAUUACUUAAUUAGCCAUCAUGAACUAACAAUGAAUAAUACUUUUCUGCAGCAUUUAUUCAUCUUUGUUCAUGUUAACUUAUGUAAAUACAAUUGUAAGUUGUUAGUUCAUAAUACAUUUACUAAUGUUCAGAUACUUUAAUUUUAAAAAUGCAUCUGUAUAUGUUGAAAUUAUCAUUAACUAAGAUUAAUAAGCACUGUAAAAGUACUGUUCAUUGUUUGUUCAUGUAAACUAUUGACUCUCUAA